rnacentral:rRNA from 1 species
UACGGGGGGGGCAAGCGUUGUUCGGAAUUACUGGGCGUAAAGGGUUCGUAGGUGGCCAAUUAAGUCAGGACGUGAAAUCCCUCAGCUUAACUGGGGAACUGCGUCUGAGACGUGGAUGGCUUGAGUGCAGGAGAGGAACGCGGAAUUCCAGGUGUAGCGGUGAAAUGCGUAGAUAUCUGGAGGAACACCGGUGGCGAAGGCGGCGUUCUGGACUGCAACUGACACUGAGGAACGAAAGCCAGGGGAGCAAACGGG